AACUGGUGAGUAACACGUGGGAAACCUGCGCACAAGCGGGGGAUAACACCUGGAAACAGAUGCUAAUACCGCAUAACAACUUGGACCGCAUGGUCCGAGCUUGAAAGAUGGCUUCGGCUAUCACUUUUGGAUGGUCCCGCGGCGUAUUAGCUAGAUGGUGGGGUAACGGCUCACCAUGGCAAUGAUACGUAGCCGACCUGAGAGGGUAAUCGGCCACAUUGGGACUGAGACACGGCCCAAACUCCUACGGGAGGCAGCAGUAGGGAAUCUUCCACAAUGGACGAAAGUCUGAUGGAGCAACGCCGCGUGAGUGAAGAAGGGUUUCGGCUCGUAAAACUCUGUUGUUAAAGAAGAACAUAUCUGAGAGUAACUGUUCAGGUAUUGACGGUAUUUAACCAGAAAGCCACGGCUAACUACGUGCCAGCAGCCGCGGUAAUACGUAGGUGGCAAGCGUUGUCCGGAUUUAUUGGGCGUAAAGCGAGCGCAGGCGGUUUUUUAAGUCUGAUGUGAAAGCCUUCGGCUCAACCGAAGAAGUGCAUCGGAAACUGGGAAACUUGAGUGCAGAAGAGGACAGUGGAACUCCAUGUGUAGCGGUGAAAUACGUAGAUAUAUGGAAGAACACCAGUGGCGAAGGCGGCUGUCUGGUCUGUAACUGACGCUGAGGCUCGAAAGUAUGGGUAGCAAACAGGAUUAGAUACCCUGGUAGUCCAUACCGUAAACGAUGAAUGCUA
rnacentral:rRNA from 1 species